rnacentral:rRNA from 1 species
AUUGAACGCUGGCGGCAGGCCUAACACAUGCAAGUCGAGCGGCAGCGGGAAAGUAGCUUGCUACUUUUGCCGGCGAGCGGCGGACGGGUGAGUAAUGCCUGGGAAAUUGCCCAGUCGAGGGGGAUAACAGUUGGAAACGACUGCUAAUACCGCAUACGCCCUACGGGGGAAAGCAGGGGACCUUCAGGCCUUGCGCGAUUGGAUAUGCCCAGGUGGGAUUAGCUAGUUGGUGAGGUAAUGGCUCACCAAGGCGACGAUCCCUAGCUGGUCUGAGAGGAUGAUCAGCCACACUGGAACUGAGACACGGUCCAGACUCCUACGGGAGGCAGCAAUGGGGAAUAUUGCACAAUGGGGGAAACCCUGAUGCAGCCAUGCCGCGUGUGUGAAGAAGGCCUUCGGGUUGUAAAGCACUUUCAGCGAGGAGGAAAGGUUGAUGCCUAAUACGUAUCAACUGUGACGUUACUCGCAGAAGAAGCACCGGCUAACUCCGUGCCAGCCGCCGCAGUAA